CCUACGGGAGGCUGCAGUGGGGAAUAUUGGACAAUGGGGGCAACCCUGAUCCAGCCAUGCCGCGUGUGUGAAGAAGGCCCUCGGGUUGUAAAGCACUUUCAGUGAGGAAGAACGCCUGGUGGUUAAUACCCAUCAGGAAAGACAUCACUCACAGAAGAAGCACCGGCUAACUCCGUGCCAGCAGCCGCGGUAAUACGGAGGGUGCGAGCGUUAAUCGGAAUUACUGGGCGUAAAGCGCGCGUAGGUGGCUUGAUAAGCCGGUUGUGAAAGCCCCGGGCUCAACCUGGGAACGGCAUCCGGAACUGUCAAGCUAGAGUGCAGGAGAGGAAGGUAGAAUUCCCGGUGUAGCGGUGAAAUGCGUAGAGCUCGGGAGGAAUACCAGUGGCGAAGGCGGCCUUCUGGACUGACACUGACACUGAGGUGCGAAAGCGUGGGUAGCAAACAGGAUUAGAUACCCGUGUAGUC
rnacentral:rRNA from 1 species